GCCCAGAUGGCGGAAUUGGUAGACGCGUUGGUCUCAAACACCAAUGCUGCAAGGCGUGCCGGUUCGAUCCCGGCUCUGGGUACCA
rnacentral:tRNA from 1 species